rnacentral:rRNA from 1 species
UUGUGGUUAAAAAGCUCGUAGUUGGAUCUCAACAGCCUUGNAAGCGGUUAACUUUGUAGUUUUACUGCUUUAUAGGCUGUGCUUUUGCUGGAGGUUUAGGGGUGCUCUUGAUCGAGUGUCUCUGGAUGCCAGCAGGUUUACUUUGAAAAAAUUAGAGUGCUCAAAGCAGGCUAAAAUGCCUGAAUAUUCGUGCAUGGAAUAAUAGAAUAGGAUGUCGAUCCUAUUUUGUUGGUUUUCGGGACUCGACAUAAUGAUAAAUAGGGACAGUCGGGGGCAUUUGUAUUCAAACGACAGAGGUGAAAUUCUUGGACCGUUUGAAGACAAACUACUGCGAAAGCAUUUGCCAAGAAUGUUUUCAUUAAUCAAGAACGAAAGUUAGAGGUUCGAAGGCGAUUA